CUUUAGCCCUGAUGGAAGCGGCAUCCUUUUAUUCUGGGGUUCAGAAUAAAAGAUAUAGCGUACAGCAGGAAGGAUG
rfam:Flavobacterium frigoris strain DSM 15719 genome assembly, contig: Ga0131223_101